CACGCCCGAGACAAUAAACAACGCGAACUGCGAGUACGGUAAAGCAUUAGAGCUGGCACGGCCCGAGAUAAUAAACCACGCGGACUGCGAGCCAGUAAAGCAUUAGAGCGGGCACGGCCCGAGAUUAUAAACGAUGCGGACUACGAGUAUAGCAAACCAUUAAAGCGGGCACGGCCCGAGAUAAGAAGCCGCGCAGACUGCGAGCCAUUAAAGCAUUACAGAGCGGGCACGGCCCGAGAUUAUGAACAACGCGAACUGAGAGUACAGUAAAGCAUUAGAGCGGGCACAGCCCGAGAUAAUAAACGAUGCGGACUGCGCGUACAGUAACCAGCAGAGCGGGCACGGCCCGAGAUAAUAAACAACGCGGACUGCGAGUACAGUAAACCAUUAGAGCGGGCGCGGCCCGAGAUAAUAAACAACGCGGACUGCGAGUACAGUAAACCAUUAGAGCGGGCACGGCCCGAGAUAAUAAACAACGCGGACUGCGAGUACAGUAAACCAUUAGAGCGGGCGCGGCCCGAGAUAAUAAACAACGCGGACUGCGAGUACAGUAAACCAUUAGAGCGGGCACGGCCCGAGAUAAGAAACAACGCGGGCUGCGAGUACAGCAAAGCAUUAGCGCGGGCACGGCCCGAGAUAAGAAACAACGCGGGCUGCGAGUACAGCAAAGCAUUAGAGCGGGCGCGGCCCGAGAUAAUAAACAACGCGGACUGCGAGUACAGUAAACCAUUAGAGCGGGCACGGCCCGAGAUAAGAAACAACGCGGGCUGCGAGUACAGCAAAGCAUUAGAGCGGGCACGGCCCGAGAUAAGAAACAACGCGGGCUGCGAGUACAGCAAAGCAUUAGAGCGGGCACGGCCCGAGGUAAACAACGCGGACAGCGAGUCAUUAAAGCAUUAGAGCGGGCACGGCCCGAGAUAAUAGGCAGCGCAGAAAGCGAGACAUUAAAGCAGUAAGUAGAGCAGGCACGGCCCGAGACAAUAAGCAGCACGGAAGCGAGUACAGAAAAGCAAUUGAACGGGUACGGUCCGAGAUAAGAAGCAGCGCAAUAGGCACUUGCGACGAGCAAAGCAGCUGCAUAACAAUGCUUUAUAACAAAAAACGUAUUACAACCAAUUAUGAAAUUUACAAAAUAGCGCCACUUCGACAAAAUAACUUAAAACA